rnacentral:rRNA from 1 species
CCUACGGGUGGCAGCAGUGAGGAAUAUUGGUCAAUGGGCGCGAGCCUGAACCAGCCAAGUAGCGUGAAGGAUGACUGCACUACGGGUUGUAAACUUCUUUUAUAAAGGAAUAAAGUGAGGCACGUGUGCCUUUUUGUAUGUACUUUAUGCAUAAGGAUCGGCUAACUCCGUGCCAGCAGCCGCGGUAAUACGGAGGAUCCGAGCGUUAUCCGGAUUUAUUGGGUUUACAGGGAGCGUAGAUGGGUUGUUAAGUCAGUUGUGAAAGUUUGCGGCUCAACCGUAAAAUUGCAAUUGAUACGGGCAGUCUAGAGGACAGUUGAGGUAGGCGGAAUUCGUGGUGUAGCGGUGAAAUGCGUAGAUAUCACGAAGAACUCCGAUUGCGAAGGCAGCUUACUAAACUGCCACUGACAUUGAUGCUCGAAAGUGUGGGUAUCAAACAGGAUUAGAUACCCGGGUAGUC